AGCUUGCUACUUUGCUGACGAGCGGCGGACGGGUGAGUAAUGCUUGGGAACAUGCCUUGAGGUGGGGGACAACAGUUGGAAACGACUGCUAAUACCGCAUAAUGUCUACGGACCAAAGGGGGCUUCGGCUCUCGCCUUUAGAUUGGCCCAAGUGGGAUUAGCUAGUUGGUGAGGUAAUGGCUCACCAAGGCAACGAUCCCUAGCUGGUUUGAGAGGAUGAUCAGCCACACUGGGACUGAGACACGGCCCAGACUCCUACGGGAGGCAGCAGUGGGGAAUAUUGCACAAUGGGCGCAAGCCUGAUGCAGCCAUGCCGCGUGUGUGAAGAAGGCCUUCGGGUUGUAAAGCACUUUCAGUCAGGAGGAAAGGUUAGUAGUUAAUACCUGCUAGCUGUGACGUUACUGACAGAAGAAGCACCGGCUAACUCCGUGCCAGCAGCCGCGGUAAUACGGAGGGUGCGAGCGUUAAUCGGAAUUACUGGGCGUAAAGCGUACGCAGGCGGUUUGUUAAGCGAGAUGUGAAAGCCCCGGGCUCAACCUGGGAACUGCAUUUCGAACUGGCAAACUAGAGUGUGAUAGAGGGUGGUAGAAUUUCAGGUGUAGCGGUGAAAUGCGUAGAGAUCUGAAGGAAUACCGAUGGCGAAGGCAGCCACCUGGGUCAACACUG
rnacentral:rRNA from 1 species